rfam:Paramesorhizobium deserti strain A-3-E Scaffold1, whole genome shotgun sequence.
CAGGCAUGCUGGGGUCCCGCCAGCGGCGCCUGGGGAGUGCCCCCGACACCGGACGGGACAACG